rnacentral:misc_RNA from 1 species
CAUCCAGUGCGCUUAAUCGAACCUCUUUAAAAUUUUCAACGUCUUCUAGUUUUUUCACCAUCCAGCCUACAUCAUUCAGUGGUUGAGUAGCCGUUGCCCUGAAUUCACUCGUGAAACUAAAAUAGUUAGCUGUAAAUAAUAUACACAAACCAUAAUUAAUUAAGCAAACGGAUCAAGAGAAUAAGCAAUCAAGUACCUCUCGCCCAUACUGUUUCUUGUCAUUGCAAUGGAAGGAGAUUAUGC